CGAUCGUAUUGGAUAAGUGAUGGUGACUGACAUUUGUAACAGCCAAUCAGCAGUAAGUGUGACCUAUUUUAGAGCAGGUUGGCUUUGUUGGGUCAUGCGUCACCUCCGGCCCCGCCUUUUUGGUUUUUGUUAUGUUGACUUGUGUUUUAGGUAUGUGUUAGCAGUUAGCUCUUCGUUUGUCUCUUUUAUAAUGUUGUGGACUAAUCGUUUGUUAUUUCAUUUUAGCCUGUCUUUUCCUUUGUUUUCUGUCGAUGGCCAUGAGUUUAAUGACUGCUGUUUAUUCAGGUAAGCGCUUAAUACUGCUAGAAAAUGGGUUGGUAUGGACGGAGUGCGCAGUUUGAAUAAUAGGCAGUUUCCUGUACCCUAGCUUGUUAUUGGUAUUACUGAGGAUGCCGAAUCCCAAUUUGUGAAUGCGUGCGAGCAUACUUUUUCCGGUUUGGUAAGUCUCUAUUAGGUGGUGGUUAAAGGGGAAUAUUAGUGUGUGAUUUGCAAGCGGUAAUGGUGUUAAUUGCCCAUAUCUUUUUUGUAGGAUUCUCCCUUUCGUCCUGGGCGAUUAAAUGCGCCGUUCCUGACGUUUUUUUCCUGUCGCGCCGUGAACUUUCGGUUACUCGGAAGUCUUAGUUGAUACGGAGAUCUAUUACCCGCUACCUGCUUCCCGCUACCUGCUUCCCGCUACCUGCUUCCCGCUACCUGCUACCUGCUAUCUGCUACCUGCUACCUGCUAUCUACUACUGAUCCCUGUGAUUGUGAUUUGUGUUACUGGUUAUUAUUGUUUGUUUUUGUUUUGUUUAAAGUGGUUCUGCUUGAGGGCAUCUAUUUGAUUAUGGAGUAGCCGGUGCCCUGUGUGGAUUUUGCUCCUCCAUUGUGGAACUACAAAAAUUGUAUUCUUUUUCUUUCCUUUUUUAUAAUUUGUGUAUUUUUUGUUUUGUUGGACAUUUUGUAUUGUUUAUAUUCAACAUUAGUUUGCCUUGGUUGAAUUUGUUUGUUCGUUUCCCUUUCCUUUUUCUUGUGACAUUAUUGCCUGGAUUAGUGUGUAAGGUUUUGGUUUGUGUAAUACACAUUGCAUAUACUCAUUUUAUUUUUAUCUUCUUACAGGAGCUGGGGUUCCACGGGUGCAGGAGCUUGAGGUGGUGGUGUCACUUCAUCAUUUGCUGUGGACACGUUUGUGUGUGCAGUGAGUGUGUCGGGGUGUGUGUGUGUGUGUGGAGGUGUAAGUGUGCUUUUGGCUAAAUUCAGCACUGGUGAUCACUCCCGUGGGUGACCUCAGCCCUUUACCAUUGGAGAGUGCUGCCGGCAGUAGGUGAUGAGGAUUCAAUGUGACUUUUAAAUGGUGAAACAAUUGUGAAAAUAAAUUUUGUACUUUCAUGCUUUA